GGUGGUGGUGCAUGGCCGUUCUUAGUUGGUGGGUUGCCCUGUCAGGUUGAUUCCGGUAACGAACGAGACCUCAGCCUGCUAAAUAGUCAACAUCGCACCUGCGGUGUGCAGACUUCUUAGAGGGACUAUUGGCGUUCAGCCAAUGGAAGUAUGAGGCGAUAACAGGUCUGUGAUGCCCUUAGAUGUUCUGGGCCGCACGCGCGCUACACUGACGCGACCAACGAGCCUAUCCUUGGCCGAGAGGCCCGGGUAAUCUUGUAAACCGCGUCGUGAUGGGGAUAGAUUAUUGCAAUUAUUAGUCUUCAACGAGGAAUGCCUAGUAAGCGCGAAUCAUCAGUUCGCGUUGAUUACGUCCCUGCCCUUUGUACACACCGCCCGUCGCUCCUACCGAUUGGGUGUGCUGGUGAAGUGUUCGGAUUGACCUUGAACUGGGGCAACCUGGGCUUGGUUGAAAAGUUCAUUAAACCCUCCCACCUAGAGGAAGGAGAAGUCGAACUGGA
rnacentral:rRNA from 1 species